ensembl:snoRNA
CUUUCCGUUUAUUUGCUGCUAUGGGCUCUCAGUGCUAUCAGCAGUUGUACAAAUGGGAUAAACUAAUAUUGGGCCAUUGUAAAUGCAGAUGAAGUAACAGUGUCAUCUCUCCUGCGUGGUCUAGAUGUUG